rnacentral:rRNA from 1 species
GGCCGCGGGAAUUCGAUUUUCCGGUUGAUCCUGCCGGAGGUCACUGCUAUCGGGGUUCGAUUAAGCCAUGCGAGUUGAGAGGGUUAAGACCCUCGGCGGACUGCUCAGUAACACGUGGAUAACCUGCCCUAAGGUGGAGGAUAACCCCGGGAAACUGGGGAUAAUACUCCAUAGGUUAAAGGUACUGGAAUGUUCUUUAACCGAAAGUUCCGGCGCCUUAGGAUGGAUCUGCGGCCGAU